GUCAAUGUGGUAUAGUGGUUUGAGCAUUGGACUAUGAUUCCAGAGGCCAGGGUUUGAUUCCCCACUUGGCCA